rnacentral:rRNA from 1 species
CCUACGGGAGGCUGCAGUGGGGAAUAUUGCACAAUGGGGGAAACCCUGAUGCAGCGACGCCGCGUGAGUGAAGAAGUAAUUCGUUACGUAAAGCUCUAUCAGCAGGGAAGAAACACUGACCUUACGGUCAGCAGACGGUACCUGAGUAAGAAGCCCCGGCUAACUCCGUGCCAGCAGCCCCGGUAAUACGUAGGGGGCAAGCGUUAUCCGGAUUUAGUGGGUGUAAAGGGAGCGUAGACGGUGCGCCAAGUCUGUAGGGAAAUGCCGCAGCUGAACUGCGGAACGGCUUUGGAAACUGGCGAACUAGAGUGCGGGAGGGGUAAGCGGAAUUCGUAGUGUAGCGGUGAAAUGCGUAGAUAUUAGGCGGAACACCGGUGGCGAAGGCGGCUUACUGGACCGUAACUGACGUUGAGGCUCGAAAGCGUGGGGAGCAAACAGGAUUAGAUACCCUAGUAGUC